AUUUCAUGAGGCCGGAUGAAGCGCAAGUUUGUGCAAAAACACCAGUAGUUUGCCUCUGAGCGCCACUCAUCUCUGCAGCCCAAGUCCCCGGUUAGUCCCGGUUUGAGGAGCAUCGAGUCGCUAGUCCAGCACACCUCCGACUACUCAACAUAGGAUAGAAGACUUAUCUACAACUACUGCCGCUCCACACCUGGUAACCAGGAUCUCCAAAUUGUGGACCUUCAAAUGUGGCCAAACCACAACUCCCAAGAAAAAAUUUGCUUGAAAUUACCAUUUAAAGAUUAAACUGAAAGCUACUUACCCGCUCUAAACCCAGGAUACUGGAUUAUAGUCCAGCUUUGCGCAAUGGAGGUAGGGAGCCAGCUCGCCCAGCUCCCCUGCCUCAACAAUGUUCCCCACCUUUUCCCUUCCUGAAUAUGCAAACAAACAUCUUUAUUUUCAUGACAUGAGAGCCUACGAAGGGGGGGGGGGGUACUAUUGGUAUUCCAAAAUAGUGGUAAAGAAAGAGCCCUUGUAUGUAAAGCUGAAACAAUUCUUGGGUUGUGUAUGUGUAGGCCUAGCUGAAAGUAGCAGCAGCAAGGGGGAUGGCAGACAGGUGGAAGUGGUAGCUGUCAUCGGACAGCAGGAGUGGUGAUAGUAGUGUCUAAUCAGUGGCAUCUGAGUUUUUCCAUGUAGCUGGAAGACAAUUUUGUUGGCUUAGGUGUGGCGAUGCUGCUGGCUAUGCUGAACAUUCUCUCUAAUGCUACACUGGAGGGUGGAUAAAAUAUCCCUGGUUGUUGAUAGUUGCCUGCUUGAGUUACAAUCCACACAAAAGGAUCAGAAAGCGCAAUGGCUUUUUCCAGUUGUUCCAAAAAUGAUCCCUUUUUGUAAGUUACAACAGAUUUGGUGACAGUGUCUUAAAAUAGUGAAGAACAGUGAAAAAUUUUGAAAAUUAAAAAAAGUAUACAAAAUUCUUCUUUUGUCACUUGAAACAGGAACUGUACACUAUAAAGAAGAUUUUUUUAAAGAAGUUUUUUUCAAAAAGUAUUUUUUUGUGCAUUUUUUACAUUUUAGAAACAUUUUAUAAAAUUAUAGCUUUAGAGGAGUUGCAACAGAACUAGCAGACAACGAAGAAGUUGUUUUUUUAAAUUUUAACAUUUGAAAAUUUUUUCCAAAAUUCUGCCUUUUUGGGAGUUAUAACAGGUCUGUACACAUGAAAAAUCACUUUUUAAAAUUUUGAACAAUGAAAUGGCCCUGGUUAUAGCUACUACUCGAAUAUCUGUGGCAUGCACUAUACUGCACACAAACACCUGCAUGGAGUGGCCCAUCCUCUCUGCCUCUGAUUGUGCAAAGUAGGGACUAGUGGUAACUGUAGCCAGUAUACAGCAGGGAGUGGUGAACUAGAGUUAGCUGUAGGCAGCGGACAGCAGGCAUAGGUGGACUACUAAUAAUUUUAGCCAGGCCAUGUGAUGUCUCUCCAUGUGCUUAUGUAGAGCCCUUACUAAUAAAGUUGUGCCUUAGGGCUGUGCCUUACUUUCUCUCAGAAAAUAUGGUACUGUGCCUGGUUUACUACAUCUGGUAAGAUGGUAAAGAAUUUGUACACAACAGGAUAACAUAUAGUGAUAGGGGCACCACCACCCAACUGUGCCCCUCUUCUAAAAAGGCCUUUUUCUCAAACCUGCAGAUGAAGAUCCUCAUCAAUAAACUCCUCCUCAUUGUCCCCACCAUUCCUCUUAGUAUGAACUUCUGAUGUGUGAUCAUGGGCUCCUUGCUCCCCGUACACAAUGAUGCCUUAAAGUAUUUCCACCACGCCUACCACCACCAGUCCCACUAAUGCUACGCUCGGCUACUGCAUCCCUCCACCGCCUUAGCAACACUCUCCAAAGGCUGUCAAUGACACAACUCCUCCUUAUGCUUUGAACUGGGGGGAAGCAAAGAUGGAGACAAUGGAACAGACCAUCUAGGACAGACAUUUCCAUUGCAUCACGUAACUGUAGACGUGAAGACCGCUGGCUCAUCGUCAGACUCUUCUUCUUGUCUCCUGAGGAGACAACCUGUCAACCACUUCACAAGGGCUGUACCAUCUUGUGAAACCACACAACUCCUGGAAGACAGUGAGGACUGUUGUUUGCUGACAACCAGGUGUUGCCAUUCGGCUCAUCCAUUUAUAGGGCUCGAAAAUCAGCAUGGUGCCAAAAGUUGGCAGGUGAGUAUGUCGAGGAAAAAAACUAAUGGAAAUGGUGAAUGUGGCAGAAGCAAAGGAAUACAAUACAAGAGAAAUACAAGAAAAGUUUAAAUCCACCUUUUUCCAUUUUUCAAAUGACAUAUUGUAAACAAAAAUAAACAUAAUCAUAUUAUUUAUGGCCAUGUUCAGAA